rnacentral:rRNA from 1 species
ACUCAAAUGAAUUGACGGGGACCCGCACAAGUAGGGGAACGUGUGGUUUAAUUCGAGACAAAACGAAGAACCUCACCAGGGUUUGAAAUGUAUGUUUUAGGAUCCUGAAAGGGAAACGAACCGCAAGGUAGCAUACACAGGUGCUGCAUGGCUGUCGUCAGCUCGUGUCGUGAGAUGUCGUCUUAAGUGACUCAACGAGCGCAACCCCCAUCAUUAGUUGUAUCACUCUAAUGAAACCGCCCCCGAUAAAGGGCCUUAGAAGCUUCUAAGACUUUUUGUCGGGGGAGGAAGGUGGGGAUGACGUCAAGUCCUCAUAGCCCUUAUGUCCUGGGCUACACACACGUUACAAUGCAUAGGAACAACGGGCUGCAAACUCGCGAGGGUAAGCUAAUCCCUAAAAACUAUGCUCAGUUCAGAUUGUAGUCUGCAAUUCGACUGCAUGAAGAUGGACUUACUAGUAAUCGCAGGUCAGCAUACUGCGGUGAAUACGUUCUCGGGUCUUGUACACACCGCCCGU